CUAUAUAAGCCCAAGGUCUAGCCACCCCUGUGGGUUCCUUACCACCAAGUACUGCUAAGUAUGGGAGACGCACAUGUUAAUAAACUUGUUUUUCGCUUGUUGAUUUGUCUUUUGCAGCGCCCCACCCAGACAACCUCCUAGGAGCAUAGAAGAAAAACAAUUCUAAAACCCUAUCCGUGGUAUGGUACUUCAUAAAUUUAAUAACAUUGUGGGAUCAAGCCUGAUUUGAGGGUCUUAAAACUAAAACUCAGUAUGAUAAAACGGAAGUAAAGCAAGGUGAUGAUCAGGACUUCAAAGGAACAAGUACCGUGUGAUUUCUGGAACUGAAUGGAGAGUAGAUAUCAUGAACGUAUCCAGCUGAGCUUAAUUAUACCAAACAAAGGAAAUAGAACUUGGGAAGAGCUUCUCUCUGCACCUGCUUCUCCAAGAAAACAAGGAAAUUGGAGUGGUCUUUUUGUGGACUCAGUGUGGCUGUGGCAGGGGCCGUGAGACAAUAGGAGAAGGAAAAGAUUGGAGUUACAUUUUCCUAACAAAUGGGUAAUCCGUCCUCAAUCCAAAUUGGUUGAACGCUACAACCCUCAUUGUUUCCAUUUCAUUUAAUGCCCAUAAAAAUGAAUUCACUUGAAUUCAAUGGCUGUAGGCUCAGAAUAUUCGCAGUGUAUUUGUGUUGGACUCUAAGACUGAUCUGUUCGGCUUUUUUAUUCGCUUUCUAUGAAAGAACAUUAACCCAAGACUAAGAAAGUAGAGAAAGAUGCUCAGAAUUCCAUCACAAAUUAAAUUAUUUUCAAAUUUCUUUCCACUCCAAGCUCACAUACUAAUUUUACACAGCUAUCAUCAAUGCUUUUAUAUGGUUAUGUUAACCAUGUAUUUUGUAAUGAUAUUUAGUGGGUACAUAAUAUUACAUCAGGUCGAUUAAGCAGUUUCCUUAAGCAUUCUAUCAUUCAGGGGAGUGCAGACUGAAGCUGUUUUUACUGAAACAAAUGAUUAAAAUUAACCUGUUGUUUAAUAGGAAUGCAAAUGGAUUUUUCUACAUUGCUAUUUUUUUUUGAGAGAGAGAGAGGGCAAAGGGAAAGAGAGAGUCUCAAGCCGACUCCUCGCUGAGCACAUAGCCCAACACAGGGCUCUAUCUGAGGACCCUAAGAUCAUGACCUAUGCGGCAAUCAAGAGUUGGACACUUAACUGACUGAGCCACGCAGGCACCCCUGCCAUUUAUUUUAAAAUAAAUUCCAUAUAGUGGUCAAAUACUAUGUACUUUUCUGAUGACCCAUGAUGAAUUUUCAAAUGCAUACAUAUCUUUUUCUGAAUGACCUGAGCAUAAUUUACAAACAUCACAUCUCUUUUUCCACAAAUAAAGUAAGUGACUAUUUCCUAAAUAUGGCUUUUCUCUUAGGCAAUCACAAUAAUAUUCUUCAAAACCAGGAUAUUUAACUCUAAUACUGGACUCUCAUAUAUUACACAUUUCAUACUCAAGAGUUACCAAUUGUCCUAAUAAUGUCCUGCUUAAUAAUUUUUUUUCUUGAAUCAAGUCCAAUCCAGAGUCACAUUCAGUUGUUAUGUUCACCUUUGUUCACCUUUAAUAUGAAACCAUUUUCAGCCUUUGUUUGGUCUUUCAUGACCUUAAAAUUUUUGAAGGACACUGGCCAGUUAUGUUACAGAAUAUCCUUCCACUUAUAUUUCCCUGAUGUUUCCUUGUGACUGGAUCCAGGUUAUGCAUUUUUAGCAGGAAAUCCACAGACUAGAUGCUGUGUCUUCCCAUUGCAUUAUUUUAGAAGAUGCAGGAUGUCAGCUUGUCAAUUUGUUGGUGAUGCAAAGUUGAUCAUUUCAUUAGAUGGUGUUGACCAGUUUUCUUCCCCAUAAGGUUACUAUUUUUUCUUUUGUAAUUAAUAAGUAAUUUGAGGGAGAUACUUUGAGAUUAUGUAAAUAUUCUAGUCAUUAAAAUUUUAUCCACUGUAUUUAGCAUCUAUUAAUGAUAC